AAUUUAGACAAAGCCAGGGCCUGUGCAGAUUAACACAACAAAUGUAACAUGGAAGGUACAUGGAACCAAGAAGAAAAGCCAGAGACAGAGGAACAGAGAAACAUGGCUGAAUAAAUGGCAAGAAGAAGAUUAAUUUUCCUGACCAAAAUUCACAGGGUUCCAAGGACUCUCUAAGGGGUACUCUUAAGUACGGAUAGUACAAAAUAAUUGGAAAAUCAAGGGGUAAUAUUGGAAUAUGUCAAAGAGAAUAAUUGGACAAAUACAAUAUAAUUAUUAGACUGUUUAUCAUCUCCUCCCAGACAUGAGCAUGUGACCCACCUCAUAAAUAAUGGAACCCCAUCUUCUUCAGCCAACCGCUGCAAUUCUCACACAAUAUAGAUAAAUAUAAAAAUAAAGGUUUUGAAGAAAAUAAAUAACUUGACCAAAAAAAGAAAUGAAAUUGCAUAAAGAAACUCCAC
rnacentral:lncRNA from 1 species